GUUUACAAGCUCCUGCUUCUGGAUGAGCCCCGCGUCCCAUCAGCUAGUUGGUAGGGGUAAUGGCCUACCAAGGCUACGACGGGUAGCUGGUCUAAGAGGAUGGCCAGCCACACUGGAACUGAGACACGGUCCAGACUCCUACGGGAGGCAGCAGUGGGGAAUCUUGCGCAAUGGGCGAAAGCCUGACGCAGCGACGCCGCGUGGGUGACGAAGGCCUUCGGGUUGUAAAGCCCUGUGGGGUAGAACGAACUGGCAUCGGGCUAAUAUCCCCGGUGUCUUGACGGUACUGCCUUAGCAAGCAUCGGCUAACUCUGUGCCAGCAGCCGCGGUAAGACAGAGGAUGCGAACGUUGCUCGGAUUUACUGGGCGUAAAGCGCGUGUAGGCGGUCUCGUUAGUCGGGUGUGAAAGCCCCGGGCUCAACCCGGGAAGUGCACCCGAUACUGCGAGACUGGGGUACUGAAGAGGAGAGCGGAAUUCCCGGUGUAGAGGUGAAAUUCGUAGAUAUCGGGAGGAACACCAGUGGC
rnacentral:rRNA from 1 species